CUUGUCAAAAACACCUCCACUGUUAGAGGCAAUAUGUUUCUGAACACCAGUCUCUGGAAACCACAGAAGGGGAGAGUGCUGUUGAGCUCAGGUUCAUCUUGUGAGCUUCCCAAGGGCAUCUGGUUGGCCACUGUGAGAACAGGAUGCUGGACUAAAUAGGCCACUGGACUGAUUCAGCAAGAUCUUUGCAUGUUCUUAAGGUGAACUGACCUGACUCACAGUUCCCAAACUUAAAGCUGGAUUAGAACACAGUUAUCAAUCAAAGUGCACAUGCCUCUGAACUCUGGGAAUCGAAACUCUGUGAGGGGAAUAGGAGGCCUCCUCUCAACUCUCAGCACCCUUAACAAACCACAGCUCCCAGAAUGCUUUGUGGGAUGAAUGUCUAUGAUUGCUUUAAAGGCAUGGUGUGAACGUGGCCCUGCCCUAAGCAUGCAGCAGCAAAAAAGGCCCCCAUGCUAGCCACUUCAGACUGUGAGCGACUAAAUGACUUCUGAUGUUCAAAAGGUUGUUUUUUUUUAAGAAUGGACUGAGUCAGCGCUGGAGCCCUUGGACUGCCUUGUGGUCAGACAGAAGGUAGGCAAAUCUGCCUGGUUUCUCCUUUCCGAGAGACCGGCUGCCACGGAAAUGAUACCCACGCCUGCAUCUGCAAGCGAGGCCCAAUUAGCAGGAAGAAGACUCACCAGGGACUCUUCAGAAAUAACUCGCUCCUUCCCCUCACUGUGGAGCCCCUGAAAACUCUGACAGAGCCCAAGACUACGUGAUCUCCAACAAUCUGACAGGCGCAUUUUCCACCCUCCUGCGUUCACAGGAAACAUUUGGUAUGUGCAAACAUUUAUUUGGAGGUGUAACAUUUAAGGCCUGCAAAUAUUUGAAAAUGCAACCUUCAGGAAUGUGGGGCCCAUAAAAUCAGGCUCAUUUACCCUCCGAAUCCACAAGGGUGAAUUAUUUCCUCACAGCAUUCAGAGAUCUGGUCACGGUGCGAGCCCUAAAACAUCCUGAGAAGUUUGAUUCAAUGUUAUAGGGGGUGUGCUGUUUUGCUGUGCCAGAUGAAGAGGCAGCCCCCUCUUUUAGGUACUCUACAGCCUAGAAGUAGUGAACAAAAGGUGUUUUAAUACAAAGCCCAUUAACCUGCUCUUGAGUACUAAAGCUUUCAAAAGAACGCAAUGUGCCUCUUCAUAACUGGGAACCUCGAUAAGGCAAUGUUUGCUAAGUUAACCGUUCCACUAAGUUCAAGGUGCUGGUACUGCUGUACAAAGCCCCAUAAAGCUUGGGAUCUGGAUACCUAAAGAUCACCCUUUAUAGACCCAACCGAUAACUAUACUCUGCAGGAGAAGGUCCAUUCCCUACAAUGCUGGAGUCAGGCCUCUAGCAUGGUGGCACCUUUGGAAGGCCCCCCAUUACAUAUUAGACAAGGGGUUAGCAAACUUUUUCAGCAGGGGGCCGGUCCACUGUCCCUCAGACCUUGUGGGGGGCCAGACUAUAUUUUUUUGGGGGGGAGGGAAAUGAUGCAAGAGCACCAUGAGCCCCGGUGGCUGC